AGAGAUCAUGGCUCAGAUUGAACGCUGGCGGCAUGCCUUACACAUGCAAGUCGAACGGCAGCGCGGGGCAACCUGGCGGCGAGUGGCGAACGGGUGAGUAAUAUAUCGGAACGUACCCUGGAGUGGGGGAUAACGUAGCGAAAGUUACGCUAAUACCGCAUACGAUCUAAGGAUGAAAGUGGGGGAUCGCAAGACCUCAUGCUCCUGGAGCGGCCGAUAUCUGAUUAGCUAGUUGGUGGGGUAAAGGCCUACCAAGGCAUCGAUCAGUAGCUGGUCUGAGAGGACGACCAGCCACACUGGAACUGAGACACGGUCCAGACUCCUACGGGAGGCAGCAGUGGGGAAUUUUGGACAAUGGGCGAAAGCCUGAUCCAGCAAUGCCGCGUGAGUGAAGAAGGCCUUCGGGUUGUAAAGCUCUUUUGUCAGGGAAGAAACGGUGAGAGCUAAUAUCUCUUGCUAAUGACGGUACCUGAAGAAUAAGCACCGGCUAACUACGUGCCAGCAGCCGCGGUAAUACGUAGGGUGCAAGCGUUAAUCGGAAUUACUGGGCGUAAAGCGUGCGCAGGCGGUUUUGUAAGUCUGUCGUGAAAUCCCCGGGCUCAACCUGGGAAUUGCGAUGGAGACUGCAAGGCUAGAAUCUGGCAGAGGGGGGUAGAAUUCCACGUGUAGCAGUGAAAUGCGUAGAGAUGUGGAGGAACACCGAUGGCGAAGGCAGCCCUCUGGGUCAAGAUUGACGCUCAUGCACGAAAGCGUGGGGAGCAAACAGGAUUAGAUACCCUGGUAGUCCACGCCCUAAAACGAUGUCUACUAGUUGUCGGGUUUUA
rnacentral:rRNA from 1 species